GAUGAACGCUGGCGGCGUGCCUAAUACAUGCAAGUCGAGCGGUAAGGCCUCUUCGGAGGUACACGAGCGGCGGACGGCUGAGUAACACGUAGGAACGUACCCCAAAGUGAGGGAUAAGCACCAGAAAUGGUGUCUAAUACCGCAUGUGGCCUUCGGGCUAAAGCUCCGGCGCUUUGGGAACGGCCUGCGCAUGAUUAGCUUGUUGGUGAGGUAAUAGCUCACCAAGGCGAUGAUCAUUAGCUGGUCUGAGAGGAUGACCAGCCAGACUGGGACUGAGAACGGCCCAGACUCCUACGGGAGGCAGCAGUAGGGAAUUUUCCACAAUGGGCGAAAGCCUGAUGGAGCAACGCCGCGUGCAGGAUGAAUGUCUUCGGAUUGUAAACUGCUUUUAUAUGUGACGAUUAUGACGGUAGCAUAUGAAUAAGGAUCGGCUAACUCCGUGCCAGCAGCCGCGGUAA
rnacentral:rRNA from 1 species